GCCUGCCGGCCUCCUUCGCCCCGCCCCGUCCGCGCAGCUCGUCCGGCCCGCCCGCAGGCCAGCUUCUCUCGGGAGCCUCCACCCAGGCGCAUGGCUCCAUGAAGCAAGAGGAGGAGGCAGAGCGCGAGAGAUCCCGUCCGCCCCAGCCGCGUCUGGGCCAGGAGAAAAGCAAAACCAUAUUCCUGCUGCUGUCAGUUUUGAUGCACUGAGAAAACUUCAGAGACCUAAGCUUUUUCCAGAGAAGAGAAGCUUUACUGGUGUUCCAGCCCUAAGGCUCAUAUGACAUUAACAGACAAGACACUUUUCAGAAAGACAGGCAACGUGUUGGACCUUCCGGAGCUUCUCAGAAGACAGAGGGUUUUCUUUUGAGCAGUUUAAGUAUAGUGUGCCUGGGCCGGGUGCGGUGGCUCACGCCUAUAAUCCCAGCACUUUGGGAGGCCAAGGCCAGUGGAUCACCUGAGGUCAGGAAUUCGGGACCAACCUGGCCAACAUGUGAAACCCCAUCUCCACUAAAAAAUCCAAAAAUUAGCCAGGCAUGGUGGUGCGUGCCUGUAAUCCCAGCUAUUCAGGAGACUGAGGCAGGAGAAUCGCUGGACCUUGGGGAGGCGGAGGUUGCAGUGAGCUGAGAUCGCACACUACCGUACUCCAGCCUGGGUGACAAAGAAAAACUCCGUCUCAAAAAAUAAUAAUAAUAAAAAAGUAUAGUGUGCCUGGAUGCAGUUUUGUUUUUAUUUAUCCUGCUUGGGGAUCAUAAAGCUUUAUCAGUUUUGGAAAGUUCUCAGCCUAUAUUUAUUUAACUGUUCCUUCUGCCCCAUCUUCCUCCCUUCUUCUAAGACUCCAGUUACGUAUGUAUUAGGCCUGUUCACCACUUCCCACAAGUAUCUUAUGUUCUUUGCUGUAUUUUCCAUACUCUUUGUCUCUGUUUUUCAGCUUAGAGUUUUUAUUCUGUCCUGUAUUACAGUUCAAAGAAUGUUCCUUCUGCUAAAUCUAAUUGUAGUUAACCCAUAUGCUAAGUACUUAAUUUCAGUUAUUGUAUUUUUAAGUUUUAAAUUUCCAUUUCAUUCUUUCUUAUAGAUUCCAGUUCUUUGAUGAAAGUCUCUAUUCCACCCAUCAAGUCUGUGUCUGAUAACACCAAUAUCUGGGUCAUUAGUGGCUCCGUUUUGUUGUGUCUGUUUUCCCCUCCUUCCUGUUUUGUGGUGUGUUUGAUCACUUAUUGUUGAAUGCUAACCAUUAUAAUAAAUUUUAGUGGCUCCAGGAAACA
ensembl:lncRNA NUTM2A-AS1 NUTM2A antisense RNA 1